rnacentral:rRNA from 1 species
CCUACGGGUGGCAGCAGUGGGGGAUAUUGCACAAUGGGGGAAACCCUGAUGCAGCGACGCCGCGUGGGCGAAGAAGUAUUUCGUUAUGUAAAGCCCUAUCAGCAGGGAAGAAGAAAUGACCGUAACUGAGUAAGAAGCACCGGCUAAAUACGUGCCAGCAGCCGCGGUCAUACGUAUGGUGCACGCGUUAUCCGGAUUUACUGGGUGUAAAGGCAGCGCAGGCGUCAAGGCAAGCCUGAUGUGAAAGCCCGCUGACCAACCGCGGGACUGCAUUGGGAACUACCGGGCUGGAGUGCCGGAGAGGUAGGCGGAAUUCAUAGUGUAGCGGUGCAAUGCGUAGAUAUUAGGAGGAACACCAGUGGCGAAGGCGGCCUACUGGACGGUGACUGACGCUGAGGCUCGAAAGCGUGGGGAGCAAACAGGAUUAGAUACCCCAGUAGUC